UGCCGUAACUUCGGGAGAAGGCACGCUGAUAUGUAGGUGAAGCGACUUGCUCGUGGAGCUGAAAUCAGUCGAAGAUACCAGCUGGCUGCAACUGUUUAUUAAAAACACAGCACUGUGCAAACACGAAAGUGGACGUAUACGGUGUGACGCCUGCCCGGUGCCGGAAGGUUAAUUGAUGGGGUUAGCGGUAACGCGAAGCUCUUGAUCGAAGCCCCGGUAAACGGCGGCCGUAACUAUAACGGUCCUAAGGUAGCGAAAUUCCUUGUCGGGUAAGUUCCGACCUGCACGAAUGGCGUAAUGAUGGCCAGGCUGUCUCCACCCGAGACUCAGUGAAAUUGAACUCGCUGUGAAGAUGCAGUGUACCCGCGGCAAGACGGAAAGACCCCGUGAACCUUUACUAUAGCUUGACACUGAACAUUGAGCCUUGAUGUGUAGGAUAGGUGGGAGGCUUUGAAGUGUGGACGCCAGUCUGCAUGGAGCCGACCUUGAAAUACCACCCUUUAAUGUUUGAUGUUCUAACGUGGGCCCGUAAUCCGGGUUGCGGACAGUGUCUGGUGGGUAGUUUGACUGGGGCGGUCUCCUCCUAAAGAGUAACGGAGGAGCACGAAGGUUGGCUAAUCCUGGUCGGACAUCAGGAGGUUAGUGCAAUGGCAUAAGCCAGCUUGACUGCGAGCGUGACGGCGCGAGCAGGUGCGAAAGCAGGUCAUAGUGAUCCGGUGGUUCUGAAUGGAAGGGCCAUCGCUCAACGGAUAAAAGGUACUCCGGGGAUAACAGGCUGAUACCGCCCAAGAGUUCAUAUCGACGGCGGUGUUUGGCACCUCGAUGUCGGCUCAUCACAUCCUGGGGCUGAAGUAGGUCCCAAGGGUAUGGCUGUUCGCCAUUUAAAGUGGUACGCGAGCUGGGUUUAGAACGUCGUGAGACAGUUCGGUCCCUAUCUGCCGUGGGCGCUGGAGAACUGAGGGGGGCUGCUCCUAGUACGAGAGGACCGGAGUGGACGCAUCACUGGUGUUCGGGUUGUCAUGCCAAUGGCACUGCCCGGUAGCUAAAUGCGGAAGAGAUAAGUGCUGAAAGCAUCUAAGCACGAAACUUGCCCCGAGAUGAGUUCUCCCUGACCCUUUAAGGGUCCUGAAGGAACGUUGAAGACGACGACGUUGAUAGGCCGGGUGUGUAAGCGCAGCGAUGCGUUGAGCUAACCGGUACUAAUGAACCGUGAGGCUUAACCUU
rnacentral:rRNA from 1 species